GAAUUGAAGAGUUUGAUCAUGGCUCAGAUUGAACGCUGGCGGCAGGCUUAACACAUGCAAGUCGAACGGUAGCAGGAAGAAAGCUUGCUUUCUUUGCUGACGAGUGGCGGACGGGUGAGUAAUGCUUGGGAAUCUGGCUUAUGGAGGGGGAUAACUGUGGGAAACUGCAGCUAAUACCGCGUAUUCUCUGAGGAGGAAAGGGUGGGACCUUAGGGCCACCUGCCAUAAGAUGAGCCCAAGUGGGAUUAGGUAGUUGGUGGGGUAAAGGCCUACCAAGCCUGCGAUCUCUAGCUGGUCUGAGAGGAUGACCAGCCACACUGGAACUGAGACACGGUCCAGACUCCUACGGGAGGCAGCAGUGGGGAAUAUUGCGCAAUGGGGGGAACCCUGACGCAGCCAUGCCGCGUGAAUGAAGAAGGCCUUCGGGUUGUAAAGUUCUUUCGGUAAUGAGGAAGGGAUGUUGUUAAAUAGAUAGCAUCAUUGACGUUAAUUACAGAAGAAGCACCGGCUAACUCCGUGCCAGCAGCCGCGGUAAUACGGAGGGUGCGAGCGUUAAUCGGAAUAACUGGGCGUAAAGGGCACGCAGGCGGACUUUUAAGUGAGAUGUGAAAUCCCCGAGCUUAACUUGGGAACUGCAUUUCAGACUGGGAGUCUAGAGUACUUUAGGGAGGGGUAGAAUUCCACGUGUAGCGGUGAAAUGCGUAGAGAUGUGGAGGAAUACCGAAGGCGAAGGCAGCCCCUUGGGAAUGUACUGACGCUCAUGUGCGAAAGCGUGGGGAGCAAACAGGAUUAGAUACCCUGGUAGUCCACGCUGUAAACGCUGUCGAUUUGGGGAUUGGGCUAUAUGCUUGGUGCCCGAA
rnacentral:rRNA from 1 species